UUUGACACAUUAUGCUGGUGAUGGUGACGGUGAGGAUGAGUCAAUAGGCCUUGUGAAGAGUGCUGCUGCAGUUUCCUCCUUCAUAGGCUGGCUGCUAUGUUCGGGAGCACGAGUCCCGGCACAUCAAGGCCAUCUUCUCAUUAGCGUACCAGCAGUUUAAGGAUCAUGCUUGCGGGCCUUCUAUGUAAAUCACAAACGUUCACCCAGGACAGGGAAGUCAUCUUGCUCAUCGACGGCGUCUCUUUAAAAACUUAGGGACGAUCUAGAAUAUCUCCAACAAUGUCUCACUAAGCAACACCUCAGCGCAUAUCGUCGAUCUGUUACCAAAGUUCCCGAUUCAUGUUAGACAUUGGUAAAGUGUAAGUAACAAUUGCACUUCAGUUGAUAGCAAGAAGAGAGAUCAUUGCAGAUUACGACAACAGAACCUAAGAGCAGAAGCUGAGACCAUUCUGACUUCCUUUAUUUGUCUAAGAGCUCUUCACUCUGAGAACCUGACUUAGACCGUCCAUAAAUACCAAACCACAACUGCUACAUUACAAAAUUUAACUUUUGGAUUAUCGAAAUAUGAAACUAUCUUGACAAUGCACACAUCCUCUAUAUCUACCUAUCUGGUCAAAUCAGAGACAUUAGGGUUGCUGUUUAUUAUCUUUUUGCUUUAUGAUUUUAUCCAGUUUGUACAUUCAUCUUAGAAUAAACAGUUGGGACUUAUGUAGCAAAAUAUUUCAUUAUGUAUUAAAGAUGCACUACCAGACUAUGAAAUGAGGCAAGCACUCAUGUAAGUAAAUCACAGUACCCCAAAAAAUACAAUGUUAAUUUACAAAACUUGGGACUUGAAAAUAAAUGGGAGAUCCUUACACUUUGAAAGGUACUCCUGACAUACAAAAAGGUGUCCUUAGCCUUUCAUAACUUGUCAAACACAAUAGCACCAUGAUCUAUACCAAGCUAUCGAUUACCCUUGAUUCUACAAGAAACAACAAAAUUCCGAACCUUAAUGUGCAAAUUUCAGAACUUCAUACCGGUGCUCGAAAGGAACUGCUCCAGCAGGCCAAAACAUUGUAUCUAGAACCUAUUGCCAACUUAAACACACUGCACUUCCAGAAGAUUGCUCAUGGAACAUAAGUACUAACCACAAGCUUCUAGCAGAACACUACCAGAUGCGGUGUUCAAUAUAAAAAUAUUUCCACAUGUUUAGGUGAUACUGUAAAAUGAAAACUAUUGUUUUUUGGACGCAUUAGGUUUAACAUGUACUUACUCGAACAGGCGAACAAUAACAUUGCAGAACGUCAACAUGCUUGAACAUAAAUCCACUGAAACAAAUAGAGUAAAUUACUAGAUAACCCAAUAAUAUAGGUCAACAUUACAUCAGUUACACAGUGCAGUAUCCAAAUGGUAGUAGACCUAGUUCGAUCGUUUCCGUUACUGUAUGUUCUAGAAACUGGAAACAGCUCACCAGUGCAGCAACCAAACUUUACAGUAUAGAUACUAAAUUUUAUUCUCCAGGAAAAACAUACUAACACCUAACAAAUGUACUCCAUGAAACUUGAGAGCCCGCCGUUCUGAAUUAUUUCCAAAUGCUAAUGGGAGAAACCAUGUUCAAUAGAUGAUAAGAUCGCAGCACAGGUAUCAGAAGGAAACUGUAUCACAUUUUCAUCAUGGUUGUCAUUUAGGAGAAAAUGUAGGUAACACAGAAUUUCUUGUUUCAAACAAUCACUACUAGGUCCCUAUAGCAAUUUGAUAAGAAAAGAAGCAACGGGUGAUGCUUGAAACAUGUCAAAAGAAGAUUAAAUAUUGACUUGACAAAUGUGAGGGAGAUCAAGGUGUCAUAUCUCAAGGAAGUGAAGAAUGACACUGACCACACUAGACAAGCAAAAUCGAAAAUGACAGGUAACAAGGAUAUAUGGAGAAGGAUUAAGUAUGGCCACUGUACACCCCUAUCUGUUGUAAAACAAUAAUAUGAAUAUUACCAUAGGAAAAUUUAAAUUCAUGAUUCAGAUAAUUGAUACCUUAUAGCUACCACAUAGGCACACACAAAAAACAUAUAUCUAUCAUCUACAGCUAAAGAAACUAGUCUAGGAUCAAGAGAUUAAGCUAAUAAAUCUACUCAAGGAUUGAGAAAUUAAGACCCAAUUUAUUCCUUUGCUGCUGCUAUUGCAAGCACUCAACUAACACAAACAGUGCUGCAAUAAUAUGCAAACCCUGCAGCACUAGAAACUGGGUUCAGUUCCAAAGCCUACAAAUAAAAACCUUUAUGUUUUUUUUAUUAUCAACAAACCAUUAAGGUUUUGACAGCUGAGUUGUCUUUCUAGACGGAAAUACCCAACUUAUUAUCUAACCCGAUUAAAAAACGAUUAAUGCAGUGUUGUUUCAUGAUAAAGGCAAGGCGCACUGCUUUACUGAAAGCAAUAGUUCAGACAAAGUACAGGUAACUGGCUGGGGUCACAAGCUUACAGAAUAUGAUUGUAUGUACGGUCCUGAACACUGAUCAAUUAUUUAUUUCGACCAGCAAAUAGCAAUGUCGACAUGGGCGUCACAGUCCAUAUGCACAAAUAACAAUGAAGUGAGGCCAGGACUCAAGACCGCACCCUGACUCCCUGAGGAGACCGCCAGCAAAGGAGUCAAGGGACGCUGAACCUGGCCAGUACCCUAGCAAACAGCAAACCCUCCCUGUCAGGGCGGAUGCAGCGAGGCCCCUUCCGCAAAUGCCAAAUCGUACGCCCGAUAGUUGACACAGGGGCACUGGGACCGCGAUUUCACGCGGGGAAAACAUUGCCGUGAUCGACUGAUGCCGCAUUGGUGGUAACCACUGCAGCAGCAAGCGCAGGAACAGAGAUCAAUCCACCCGCUCCCCCACCAAAAUGGCUAAUCAAUUCGGCUGGGGAGGGAGGCCAACCAGAUGGAUCGCGAUUAGCAAUGCGAGGUAACAUCGUAGGCCGGAUUCGUACGCGCGAGGCUAGGUGUGAGGGUGCGGCCAAUUAAUUCGAAAUUAACAUCGGGAGGGGAGAGGGAGAGGGAGAGAGGGAGGGAGGGGAGGGGGGAACCAAUACCGUGAUCACGCGCGGGGUUAGAGCAGGGCGUUGGCGGCGCGGCGGCGAGAAACGGCGGCCGGCGGGAGGAAGGAGGCGGGCGGCGAGAGCGCUUUUUGGUUGCGCCUCUCUCUUCCUCGGGGCGGAGCAGGGGGGCGCCGUCGUUUCGGCCAGGG
rnacentral:lncRNA from 1 species